ACCUGGCUGGCUUGGUCAGUAGAGCACAUGACUCUUGAUCUCGGGGUUGUGAGUUCGAGCCUCAUGUUGGGCA
rnacentral:tRNA from 1 species